UUACUAUUCUUCGAAUGAUUCAUUGAACCUUGAAAUAAUGUGAUAAAAUAUCUUGAUUGAACGAAAAAGCUGACACAAACAAAACAACGCAGGAGAUUUAUCAAAGAACUGCCUACUUGGCAGCAUUAUGCAACAAAAGUAGCUUACUCAUUAUACAAUAAGGAAACCAAAAUACUUAUCACAAAUGGAUCAUGGAAAGAAGUACUUAAGUACGAUACCACAUUCAACUUUAGUUUUCAAAGUGUUGUUUUAAGCCCAUCGUAUGGGAGAUUAGUAAUUGAUAGAAGAUUUACAAAGA